rnacentral:rRNA from 1 species
CCUGCGGGCGGCAGCAGUGGGGAAUAUUGCACAAUGGGGGAAACCCUGAAGCAGCGACGUCGCGUGAGUGAUGAAGUAUUUCGGUAUGUAAAGCUCUAUCAGCAGGGAAGAAAAUGACGGUACCUGACUAAGAAGCCCCGGCUAACUACGUGCCAGCAGCCGCGGUAAUACGUAGGGGGCAAGCGUUAUCCGGAUUUACUGGGUUGAAGGGGAGCGUAGACGGCGGUGCAAGCCAGAUGUGAAAGCCCGGGGCUCAACCCCGGGACUGCAUUUGAAACUGUGCUGCUAGAGUGUCGGAGAGGCAGGCGGAAUUCCUAGUGUAGCGGUGAAAUGCGUAGAUAUUAGGAGGAACACCAGUGGCGAAGGCGGCCUGCUGGACGAUGACUGACGUUGAGGCUCGAAAGCGUGGGUAGCAAACAGGAUUAGAUACCCGAGUAGUC